UACGUAGGGUGCGAGCGUUAAUCGGAAUUACUGGGCGUAAAGUGUGCGCAGGCGGCCGCGCAAGUCGAGUGUGAAAGCCCCGGGCUUAACUUGGGAAUUGCGCUCGAAACUACGUGGCUGGAGUGUGGCAGAGGAAGGUGGAAUUCCACGUGUAGCGGUGAAAUGCGUAGAGAUGUGGAGGAACACCAAUGGCGAAGGCAGCCAUUCUGGGCCGAACACUGACGCUCAUGCACGAAAGCGUGGGGAGCAAACAGG
rnacentral:rRNA from 1 species